GGGAUUACAGGCGUGAGUCACUGCACCCGGCCAGUUGCCUGUCUUUCAAAAUUUCUCCUGUAGAGAAAUCAGGCAAUAAUAGCAGCUACCCUUAUUGAACAGUUAUUAUGUGCCAGGCAUUGUUCCAAGUACCAUUACACAUGUUAAAUCAUUUAAUCUUCCUAAUCACCUAAUGAUACAGUGAAUAGAGUAUAUCCCUUCUAAGGUGAGGAAACUGAGGCAUAAAUGGUCAAAUAACUUGCUCCAGAGAGCACAGUAGACAGGGAACUGAGAUUUAUUCCCAGGCUGUCUGGUUGCAGAUGUUAUGCUGUUAAUCACUAUGUUUUGCUGCCUCUUAAUAUGCAGGUAACCUGAGUGCUAGGUACAGACAACAGGAAAGGGAAACAGGGAGCCCUGUAUCCAUACUUGAGCCCUCCUCAGAGCAUUUCCUCAGCCCCUACCUGGGAG
rnacentral:lncRNA from 1 species